CCAGAGCAAGGAACCCUGAGAGGGACGAGGGGUCACCAACACAGACACGGUUAGCAAGGUGGCGGGGAAUAAGCCACCAACCGCGGCGUUAACGGUGAACCCCAUAACGCUCUCCCUCCGGAGAACACGCAUGCACCCCAAAGGC